CGCUAAAGGAAAAGGAAAAAAACAGAAAUGUCAACAUCUAUCAGACAUAAGAAGACAGAAUGAGACAACUGCAUUAUCUAAUCACAUUAAGAAAUAAGUAACAUGCAAACAUGGUUCAUGGCUGAAGAAAAGAAGUGAAACAUUUAAUGUGGGCCACCUUUGGUAGCACAAACAAGCUCAGCACUGGUAUGCAGUUGUCAGCACUCUGGAUAGUACUGAGUGAAGAAAAUGCACCUGUACAUUAACUUUCCCUGUGACAUAAGGUAUACGUGCAGUGAUUUUAAAAAAGAAAGACAGGUGAUUUGGAGUUUAAAUCCAGUUUGCUGAUAUAUUUACAUGGGGGGAUGGUCUGAAUAAACAUUGACAUAUAUUUUGGUAUAUGAGUGUGUUGUUGUUGGAAAGUCAGCUAUUCUUAGGAUUGCUAACAUCAUAUGACCAGUUGCCUGUUUUAUUUCUUAUUAUUUCAUGUUGCCUAAAAUCCUGAUGAUGUAUGACAAAAAUUAAAGUUCUGCUGUGGCAGGGGGAUAUGAGAAGAA